rnacentral:tRNA from 1 species
GGGCCCAUAGCUCAGUUGGUAGAGCGUCUGGCUGGCAGUCAGAAUGUCGUCGGUUCGAAUCCGUCUGGGUCCA